UACGGGGGGGGCAAGCGUUGUUCGGAAUUACUGGGCGUAAAGGGCUCGUAGGUGGCCGACUAAGUCGGACGUGAAAUCCCUCGGCUUAACCGGGGAACUGCGUCCGAUACUGGUUGGCUUGAGUUCGGGAGAGGGAUGCGGAAUUCCAGGUGUAGCGGUGAAAUGCGUAGAUAUCUGGAGGAACACCGGUGGCGAAGGCGGAUCUCUGGGCCAUUACUGACGCUGAGGAGCGAAAGCGUGGGGAGCGAACAGG
rnacentral:rRNA from 1 species